GGAGACAGGUGCUGCAUGGCUGUCGUCAGCUCGUGUCGUGAGAUGUUGGUUAAGUCCCGCAACGAGCGCAACCCUUGCCUUUAGUUGCCAGCAGUUCGGCUGGGCACUCUAAAGGGACUGCCGGUGUUAAACCGGAGGAAGGUGGGGAUGACGUCAAGUCCUCAUGGCCUUUAUGACCAGGGCUACACACGUACUACAAUGGCCGAUACAAAGGGCAGCGACACUGCGAGGUGAAGCCAAUCCCGUAAAAUCGGUCUCAGUCCGGAUUGGAGUCUGCAACUCGACUCCAUGAAGUUGGAAUCGCUAGUAAUCGUGGAUCAGCAUGCCACGGUGAAUACGUUCCCGGGCCUU
rnacentral:rRNA from 1 species